UGGGGCUGAUGGCCCACACCUGGUGUUCCAGAUCUAUAGAGAAGAAAAUGUUACCCAAGACACUGAUUAACAUCACCAAGGACUCCAGGUGCCAGCACAUCACUGGAGGACCAUACACUGACACAGGCCCACAUUCGAGAAACGACUUCCUCAUCCAUCACAACUUAGCAUGACAGAAGACCAUGGCACAAGAAGGGAAAGCAGCAGGGACCCGCCUGUGAAGUGUAACCUCUGACCCCUGUUUGCUUUUUCUAUACUGAUUCAUAAGCAGCUAUGCAUGUUGGUCUAAAAUGGUGAUCCAUCAAUGCCAUGAUCAGGACUGGGAAUAACACCCGUCACUGUGUAUUGAUGAGCCCACAAUGAGCCGCUUGUUUAUUGAGAUCAGUGUGUUCAGUUUGGUGGUGAUCCACAUUGUCGAUCCAGUGUCCAGUUAAAUGUGGGCAUUAGACAAAUAGGUUUAACAAAUUCUUGGCAUUGGUCUUACAUAGUCCUGUAGCAAUUGAAAUACCCUUGACAAAUGCCAACAAAUUAAGAGUCCACUAAGAUUGUUCCAGUUCCAAAAAAGGCAGAAUGAAAUGUUAAACACCACAUACAUGACUGUGUUCUAUAGACUCUAACAUUAUUCAGGGAGGUUGCAGGUCACAGGGGCAGAGACGUCUUUAAGAAAGGUUCUUUAAUCCGCAGACUUAGUAAACAUGAAACAGGGAUAUCACAUAAACACAAAUGUCAACAUAAAACAAUGAUGGACAGGAAGCACUAGGGCAGAAGGAACUUAAAAAGGGACAUAAUGAGGGGCAAACGAGAUACAGGUGAAGACUAAACUCGACACAGGUAAUUUCAAUCCAAGAACAUCGAAACAGCUAGAACAUAAAGAUACUGAUCAUAGAAAUACAACAGCUGACAUGGCACAGGCCAUGACCGGCUGGUACAGACUUCUUUUGACAUGGGAAUUUAUAUUGUUUCAUCGUUCGACUAGCAGGUAACAUGGGCAAUUGUACUGUAAGCACUGAUGCUUUGUACACAUUGAUCAAGCUAUACCUUUGGAAAGCUACCUCCCACUGCAGCUGUGAAAUAACAUUUCCCAAUUAUAAUUUCAUUUUGACAAAUUCAUUGUUUACUUAACUUUACAGUAAAUCUGGUCGUUAGUUCUAUGAACUACACCACUGUUUAUUCCAUUAAUGUUCAGUAAAUGGUUCAGUAUUUACUCUCAGUUAUUCUUCAGAGGAGAGAAAGUGGGUAAAGGAGAGGA